rnacentral:misc_RNA from 1 species
GAUGAAGAACGUAGCAAAAUGCGAAAAGUAAUGUGAAUUGCAGAAUUCAGUGAACCAUCGAAUCUUUGAACGCACAUUGCGCCCGCUGGAACUCCGGCGGGCACGCCUGUCCGAGCGUCAUUUCAACCCUCAGGCCCCCCUUCGCGGGCGGGCCUGGUGUUGGGGCCCGGCCGCUACCCUGCGGCCGUCCCCUAAAUCCAGUGGCGGCCUCGCCGUGAUCCCUUGCGUAGUAAUGCACCUCGCACCGGAGAGCGCCGUGGCCACGCCGUAAAACCCCCAAUUUUCAAUGGUUGACCUCGGAUCAGGUGGGAAUACCCGCUGAACUUAAGCAUAUCAAUAAGCGGAGGA